GGGCUUGUAGCUCAGUGGAUAGAGCGUCUGCCUCCGGAGCAGAAGGCCGUGGGUUCAAAUCCCAUCAAGCCCACAA
rnacentral:tRNA from 3 species